GGGGGCGGGAUCGUCGCCCGAAGGGCGGGGUCUGCGGCCGCAAUGAAAGAACCGGAAAUCUGUUCUUAGUGUGAUUCAGAACCAACUUAGUUAAGAUCUGACGCCUCAAGUGGUCAUUGCGGAGCCCGGUCAGGUCCUGGGACCUGAGCUGGUCCUGGAUGAUGUCUAAGUGCUAAAGCUGCUAAUCAGAAGGUUGGAGGUUCAAGUCCACCCAGAGGAACCUCAGAAGAAAGACCUGAUGAUCUACUUCCCCAAAUUCAGCCAUUGCAAACCUUAUGGAGCACAGUUCUACUUUGAUACACAUGGGGUCUCCAUGAAUUGGAGCCACCUGGACAGCAACUGUUUGAUUGGUUGGUUGUGUUGUAAGGCUGCUUCUAAGCUCACUUCCCAGUGCCCUUUGAAGUAAGGUGAAGCCACAUGACAGAGUUCAAGCCAGUGGAAUCUGAGCAGAAGCGACAUGUGCUGCUUCCAAGCCCGAACCAUUAAAGCCUCCCAUGCUAGCUCCUCUGUGCCCCUUUCCCUUCUGCCAGCUGCACAAGGAUGAUAAGGCUCUAGGAGACAGCAAAGCCACAAGAUGGAAGCGGCCUGGGUCCUUAAAUGACUAUAUGGAGGAGAGCUGUUUCUCUGACCUGAACAUCCCCUGGGACUAUUAAUCUAUAGGGAACAAACUUCCACUGUAUUGCGCAAUUACAUGUUCAGAUUCUAUUUAGUAGUGCAGCAUAGCCUACCCUAAUAUUCCUGAGUGUAGGUGACAGAGUGAUAAAGGCACAUUCAGGCCUAUAUGGCGGAUUGACUGUGGGGGAGGUGAGGUAGAGAAGGGCAUCACGGCUGACCACACCUAUGUUCCUGGCUUGCACAGAUGGAUAGAUGGUAGAGGAUUUCACUGUGGCUGAGAACACCAGGGAGUCCCUUAGUAGUACAAAUGGCUAGUGUGCUCAUCUGCUAACUGAAAGGUUGGUGGUUUGAGUCCACCCAGAGGCACCUUGGAAGAAACACCUGGUUAUCUAGUUCCAAAAAAUGUCAUUAAAAACCCUAUGGAGUGCAGUUUUACUGUGACACACAUGGGAUUGCCAUGAGUCAGAGUUGACUGGACAGCAACUGGUUUUUAUGGAGAACACCAGAAGAGGAUCUGGAUUCAGGGGAAUGCCAUAUAUUCAGUUUUGGACAUGUUGAGAUUGAGGUGCCUUGGGGAAAGUUCAGUAGAGAUGUUGAGGAAAAGUUCUGUGUGAGGGUUUAGAGCUCAGAGAACAAGCCUGCCCUGGGAGUCCUGGGCAUAUAGAUGGAAUUGAAGCCCCAGGUGUGAAUAAAAGAGUGGGCAUGUGAACUGUUGCAUAAUCCAAAACUGAAGCUCAAAGAGAGAGUCCCCCAGGUCCACACUGACGUAGUGGUGGUGCUGGAACCUAAAUAGAAACAACAGACUCCCCAAGGCUGUCUUUUAGGAGGUGCUGCUGCCCCUCAGAGAAGAGAUGAGCACUUUCCAGUUUCGUGGACUUUUCCCUCCUCUGCAGCAGUGCUUUCUAAAAUCUGUUAAUGCCUAGUGUGAUGGUUAAGGUUGUGUGUCAGCUUGACCGGGCCAUGAUUCUCAGUGGUUUGGCAGUCGUAUGAUAUUGUGAGCAUGUCCAUGAUGAGAUUUGAUAUAAUGUGAUCACCUCCAUGAU